UAUACAAGUACAAUGCUGUAAAAUGUAAAAUCUUUGGUAUUUCACCAAUGUAUUAGCUGGAUUUCCUUGUGAAAUAGCCAAAGGAGUAGAUCUUGGGUCAAUCUGAAAAGAAAAUGUUGAAAACCGUAGAAUAAUCUUGCCCAUGAGCCUAAAGCUCUAGAAUCUAGAUCAACAAAAUCUUGAGAACAAUAGAAAAAGUACUGGGCUGACCUUAAAAGUUAAAAGCAAUAGCAAGAUGAAGCUAUGGCUAACAGAGGUGGUACUUUGGGGCCUGCUGAUGCUGCUGGUAAUCAAAGAUGAUGAUAUGGCUUACCAAUAAACAAAGUCGACAAUGAAGUCUUGGCUUUCAUCGCAGAGCACUAGUAUUUGGUGAUGGUGAACAUAGAAUUUUAUUAUACUCUGUAAGUACUAAGUAGAUAUGGAUUUCAUGGAAGCUGGGCUGUCUGAUUCAAAGUACCAUACCGAUGACAAACUACGGAGUGCUGCUGAAUCAACAAUAUUUGACUUGUCUUAUUAGUUAUAACAAAUAUUUAUUAUUGUUAAAAUCAUUUUAAAAUGAAAAACUUUGUGUUAAAAUAGAUGACUGUGUGAAACUACAUAUUAUACUUUGUCAUAUUAAAAUUAUAAUAAAAGUUGUCAUAUACAGUGUUACCUAUAGUUUGGGGUUUAUAUUAAA